UAUUACUGUUGGUAGAAGACUCUCUGAUGCAUGCAGUAAGAACAAAGCUGAAUAUUCAUUAGCGUGUGGAUAAAAGCGAGAAACAGUCCAUGGCAGACAGUGUUGUCACAUCCUUGGUUGGAAGACACUGUUACAAUGGGUUUCUAAUACAGACAAAGACUGACAGUAAUACAGGGGGACUGGACCUGAUGAUCUUCUGAGGUCCCUUCAAGCCUUACUAUCUAUGAAGACCACUUUUCAAUCAUUUGCAAUAUAUGUAACUCUAAAAUAAAUAAACUGUUCCAUGUUAUAAA